rnacentral:rRNA from 1 species
CGGACGGGUGAGUAACGCGUGAGAAUCUAACUUCAGGACGGGGACAACAGUUGGAAACGACUGCUAAUACCCGAUGUGCCGCAAGGUGAAACCUAAUUGGCCUGAAGAAGAGCUUGCGUCUGAUUAGCUAGUUGGUGGGGUAAAAGCCUACCAAGGCGACGAUCAGUAGCUGGUCUGAGAGGAUGAGCAGCCACACUGGGACUGAGACACGGCCCAGACUCCUACGGGAGGCAGCAGUGGGGAAUUUUCCGCAAUGGGCGAAAGCCUGACGGAGCAACGCCGCGUGAGGGAGGAAGGUCUUUGGAUUGUAAACCUCUUUUCUCAAGGAAGAAGUUCUGACGGUACUUGAGGAAUCAGCCUCGGCUAACUCCGUGCCAGCAGCCGCGGUAAUACGGGGGAGGCAAGCGUUAUCCGGAAUUAUUGGGCGUAAAGCGUCCGCAGGUGGUCAGCCAAGUCUGCCGUCAAAUCAGGUUGCUUAACGACCUAAAGGCGGUGGAAACUGGCAGAAUAGAGAGCAGUAGGGGUAGCAGGAAUUCCCAGUGUAGCGGUGAAAUGCGUAGAGAUUGGGAAGAACAUCGGUGGCGAAAGCGUGCUACUGGGCUGUAUCUGACACUCAGGGACGAAAGCUAGGGGA